AAACAUGGCCUUUUGUGUAUAAAUAUAAGGUCUAACCUGCCCAAUGAUUUAUUUAAUGGCCGCGGUAUAUUAACUGUGCUAAGGUAGCAUAAUCACUUGUCUUUUAAUUAAAGGCUAGAAUGAAUGGUUGAACGAGAUACAAGCUUUCUUUAAUUUAGUUAUUGAAUUUAAUUUUUUGGUUAAAAAGCUAAAAUGUAUUUGAGGGACGAGAAGACCCUAUAGAUCUUUAUAAUUUAGGGUUUUAUAUUUUAUAGAUUAUGAUUUUUUAUAAAAAAUUAAUUUAUUUAGUUGGGGUGACUUUAGAAUAAAAAUAACUUCUAUUUUAAUAUUCAUUAAUUAGUGUAUUCAUGAUCCAAAAAUUUUGAUUAAAAGAAUAAGUUACCUUAGGGAUAACAGCGUAAUUUCUUCGGAGAGCUCAAAUCGAUGAAGGAGUUUGCGACCUCGAUGUUGGAUUAAAAUAAGUUUUAGGUGCAGGAGCUUAAAAACUAGGUCUGUUCGACCUUUAAUUUUUUACAUGAUCUGA
rnacentral:rRNA from 1 species